rnacentral:misc_RNA from 1 species
UUCUCUAUCAUUUUCUUCUUUCUUUCCAGUCUAUAUAUAUGCAUGCACAUAACUCUGUGUGCAGUGAUACACAUUUUUAGAAUGACAAAACAGAAGGUGAUAAUUUAUUCUGAUAAAAAAAAGGCGAUAAUUUAUCUAUUUUGAAUGACUAAAUAAUAGAGAUAUAGAAUUAUUCGUAGAACCCUCACGUAUAAAUUUACAAGUUUAAACUUUUAAGUUAAGUGAUUUCUUGACAUGAUAUUAAAAUUUUUCAGACCAAAUAAGUUCAGCGAUCAAAUCCUUACCACCUAAUUUAUUAGUUGAAUAUUUCAUUACAAGGUAAAAAUGGAUAUGUG